ensembl:lncRNA
CGGAGGAGCGCCGCUGAAAAACUCUGUUACAAUGAUUGCACAGCCAUUAAGGAUCAAAUCAGUUUCUGAAAAAUGUUCUGUUUUUUCUCCCUCUGCUUGCUUCUUACUGUCUUUGAGGCUCGGGACCAGCACUCCUGCUGUUGGACAGAAAGACAUCAACUUGAGAUAUGACUGCACUAUGGUGUUGCUGAUCACUCCAGUUAAUUCUACAAGACAUGCUGUGACAACAGGAGAGGCGAGUCCUCCGUCACAGAUGGUGUGGUCAGUGAAGAUGGUGCGCCUGCGGUUCAAGCUCAUUACAUCUCAACCCACACCCACUGCCACUGUACUUAAGGGAAGUUAAAGACUUUCUUCUGCACCUACAUUUGGAUCACCUCGAUCCAUGACAGUCA